rnacentral:rRNA from 1 species
CUACGUGCCAGCAGCCGCGGUAAUACGGAAGGUCCGGGCGUUAUCCGGAUUUAUUGGGUUUAAAGGGAGUGUAGGCGGUCUGUUAAGCGUGUUGUGAAAUUUAGGUGCUCAACAUUUAACUUGCAGCGCGAACUGUCAGACUUGAGUACACGCAGCGCAGGCGGAAUUCAUGGUGUAGCGGUGAAAUGCUUAGAUAUGACGAAGAACUCCGAUUGCGAAGGCAGCUGACGGGAGCGCAACUGACGCUUAAGCUCGAAGGUGCGGGUAUCGAACAGGAUUAGAUACCCUGGUAGUCCGCACAGUAAACGAUGGAUGCCCGCUGUUAGCGCCUGGCGUUAGCGGCUAAGCGAAAGCAUUAAGCAUCCCACCUGGGGAGUACGCCGGCAACGGUGAAACUCAAAGGAAUUGACGGGGGCCCGCACAAGCGGAGGAACAUGUGGUUUAAUUCGAUGAUACGCGAGGAACCUUACCCGGGCUUGAA